rnacentral:rRNA from 1 species
GAUGAACGCUAGCGGCAGGCUUAAUACAUGCAAGUCGAGGGGGCAGCAAUGUCACCGGCGGACGGGGUGCGUAACGCGUAUGAAACCUACCUUUAUCAGGGGGAUAGCCCGGGGAAACCCGGAUUAAUACCGCAUAAUAUAUUGAAUGGCAUCAUUUGAUAUUGAAAGAUUUAUUGGAUAGAGAUGGUCAUGCGUAGGAU